rnacentral:lncRNA from 1 species
ACGUGGGCUUUCUAGAAUCCUGGUUUUAUUCUCAAACCCCCCUUAGCACAUUUAGCCUGGAGCUACUUGCCAUCUAGAACAAGGAUGAAUCAAGCCUUUUCAAUUUUCUAGUAAACCUCCUGGUGGUAAAAUUACAGGUACUAAUUCCUAAAGAAGUGGGAGGAAGCUAGGAAGUAGAGACGUGUGCCUGGGUGCAUUCAGGAUGGGACAGAAAGAAGGUGAAUGGGAGACAGAGCCUCUGAGGGAUCACGGAGUGAAUGGGAAUUGUGCAAAACAGUAUAAACCCACACAAGAAUUCUGACACGAGUGGCGACAUUUCUCCGUAUUGCAGCCACUGACCCAAGAACAGAAGUGCUGGCCCCUAACAAUGUGCCUCCCCUGGGCUUCCUUCCAUCCCAGGCUGCCUGUCUCCAGCUUCAGCUCUUCUCCCAGCCUUUCCCAAACACGCGUACCCCGGCCCCCUUCCCAGGACUCUGUGCGAGGCGACAGCCAGCCACUGUGCGCAUCAUGUUAACAGGUGCCGCACACAGAGUCCUCAAUGGCCCCUGGCGGAAAUUCUUAGAAAAACAAUGCUUCUGGUUGUUGGAAUCACAACCGCCACUUUCGCUCCCUACCUCCCCGUCACUGAAGAGGCUGUUUCGACUUGAAUCACAGGGGCCCAUGCAGACUACCUGCGGUCCAAAUGUGCAUGUGACAAUGGACACUCCUUUGCUGGCUGCCCAGUGUUAUUUCAGUCACUGCUGGACAGAUGGGCUCCGUUCCAAGUGGGGAAGAACCACACCUCGCAGAGGACAGUUUUUACAGGGCCAUCGCCUCGCCGCACACAGAAUGUCUCAUCCCUUGGCCAGGGUGGGAGCCGAAUGGGGGCAGAUGGCUCCUGAGUAUCAGAGCACUGGUUUCUCCCGCAGCAUCUGCUCUCUGGUCUCAGGGACAGAAUCUCAGGGAUCCUGGCUGUCGGCUCCCCCCACCGCCCGCCCCGCUCGUUUCUGCCAUGUGUGGGCCUAGUGUUUGCAGCCCGGCAGCUGUUGGAACACGGUAAAUGCAUUCACAUCCUGACAUAUCCCGAUGACUAACACGGGCUUAGCGAGGAAACAGAAGCGUCUGACAAGCAGCAACAACUGAGUUACUCGUGGAGGGGUGAGGAAAAGACACCCCAACGGGCUUG